rfam:Gossypium arboreum cultivar AKA8401 contig_103197_1, whole genome shotgun sequence.
AACCCAUGGUGAGGGCACCUCCUCAAUAGAUUCUUGUAUCUCUGCCAUGCAUCAUAUAAAGUCUCCAAAUCGAUCUGCACAAAGGAAGAGAUACCAUUCCUCAAAUU